AAAGUGGCAGAAUGAGAGAAUAUUGAAGAGGACAAGAGAGCAGCAAAGACAUUACCCCAAGAUGAGAAAGAAGGACAUACAAAGAAAAAGACGAUUACAAAUAAAAAAUAAACUAAUGGAUUGUGUGGCACAUUCUU
rnacentral:lncRNA from 1 species